rnacentral:tRNA from 1 species
UCCCUGGCUGUCCAGUGGUUAGGACUUGGCGCUUUCACUGCUGGGGCCCAGGUUCAAUCCCUGGCCGGGGAC